rfam:Lactobacillus crispatus ST1 complete genome, strain ST1
UAUAUUAUAGAAGACGCUGCUGAUACGGAUGUAUAACGGACUGAUAAUCCUUUCCGUAAAUUACCUGUAAGUCAGAUAAGGCGAACAGCAAGGAUACCUGCUGUUUUCUGAAUCUUGGAGAUAUUCUUAUCAGAGAUAGGUCCAAAAGACUUUCUGCCAGGCGAUGGUAGUCAAUGUAUUUCAGCGUAAGGCUUUUUCUGAGCUGGCAAGCACAAUAAGUUGAUGUGAAAAUCAGCUUGCAUCAGGGUUUUUGACCUAAUAAUUAAGGCGGAAAACUUAAUUGGAACCUCAAUGUAAUGACCAACAAGCUUGUUUGCUGUGACGUAUGCGAUCAAAAGCAUGCUAUAACAGGUCAGAAAAGAACGAGUAGCUUAAUCGGCAAGAUUAAAUGAUACUAUUAGGUACAAUAUAUAGAACGCACAUCAAGUGAAAGUUUACGGUAAGCAAUCCGUUUAGGACUUCGGUAGGUUCUUUGAACCCAACGCAAGAAAGAAGCAGAAAUAGCUAAUCUGUGGGCGGUCUUGUUAUCCUAUGGCUGAAUAAAGAAAAGAAAAGUAUGAAAAGCAUAUUUUUCUAACGUUGG